CUCUUUGUUUCAUGCAAAAAGUGCAGUUUUGCUGACAUGACGCUCAAUAAAUGUGCAUGACAUCCUGGUAAAACCCCCACUGAGACUGGCCUAAGCGGGCUAUAAAGCCUCUCUUUCUCCCCUUCUUGCUCCUCCACUUUGUAUUUAAGUCAACUUAAUUAUGUCCUACUUCUUCCGUCCACGAAAGAAUUAUUUUCUAGAAUCCGUGGCAGUCAAACUUUUUUAAGUUUGACUAACUUUAUAUAUAGGAGUAACAACAUCUAUGACAUAACAUGCACAUCAUAUAAAAAUAUAUUCUAUGAUGAAUUUAAUGAUACUAAUUUGAUACCGUAAAUCUUAGUAUCUUUUUAAAAUAUAUUCUAUGAUAAAUUUAAUAAUACUAAUUUGAUACCGUAAAUCUUAAUAUCUUUUUCUAGAAAUUUGGUCAAAGUUUAAAAGUUUGACUUAAGACAAUUCUAGAAAUUGAUUGAGAGUAUUAUUAAUACUGCUCAUGUAACUACUCGGUAUGCUACUUCUCACCUAUGCCUUGUUUAGAUGCGAAAAUUUUUUAGAUUUCGCUACCGUAGCAUUUUCGUUUGUUUGUGGACAGUGGCGGAGGGAGGGGGGGCUGAGGGAGGCCUGGCGCCCCCCAACCUUCCCAUAACUCCCUUAAUACACCUCAUAGAUUAGAUGUUUAAUUAUCUAAUUAGCUAGUUAAUGAUAUUAUCCGUACUAAGAUUUUUAUUUUUAUUUCAUAUUAAUCUCUAAUAGUUUCUUAUAAAAAUAGAAUCUAGAUCUUUCUAAUAUUUUUUCAUAUCUUUUAUUUUUAUUAUUGCCUAUCAAACAUCAGUUUGUCCUCUACCACACACUCUAAUUAGCUAGUUAAUUGAAAGUCAGCGUUUUUCUUGUUUAAUCCUUCUGAAUUGAUCUCCAACAAUGGGAUCUAUAUUAUUUAGCAUUAGUCUUCCAAUUAUCUUUCUUAUCUCUAUGCUUCUAUCAUUAUUCAUCUAAACUCUAAACGGUCAUUUAGCCCGUUGUACUCAACUUUUAAACACUAACAGUGGUAUGGUGUUUCUGUUUAACCUUCUAUUUAAAUGACCAUUUUACUUGUUUAAGUGAUCGUUUUGUCUUAAGACUAAAUGAUAUGUAACUGAUUGUUUGUCAUUUGAUGUUAGGAUCUAGUACUAAUUAAUUUUGCCCCCGUUUAACUACUUGUUUUUAUUGUGAUUCUUUUUCUAGGUAAAGAAAUAGAAUGAUCAGGUGAAGGUUAGAGGCAUAAGACUAGUUAAAUUUCUCUUUUUUUUUGUUUUUCUGCUUUUUUUUGCAUUACAAUGCAAACGUUUAUUUUGGUGCUAUGUACAACUUUAUCAUGUAAUAUUUUGACACACAUGAUUGUUCUUGGUUUGCACGGCCCCUCCUAUGUUCAAAUCUUGGCUCUGCCCCUGUUUGUGGCAAAUAUUGUCAACUCAUGGUCUAACUAGGAUCAAAAGAUUUGUCUCGUGAUUUACAGCCAAACUAAAUAAGACCUAGUUAGUUCAUAAUUAGACAAUAUUUAUCAAAUAAAAACGAAAAUACUACUAUCCCUAUUUUGCAAAAAUUUUUGGAACUAAACAGGGCCUAGGUAGGAGUAGAUGAGCCGAGACGGACGGGGAAUUGGGCGACCGUUGUCCCGGAGGGUUCGGUGUCCGGUCCCCGCGCGGGCAGGCGAGGAGCUGACAGCUGAGGUCGACCACGCCACGCCACGUCACGUCGGGAUGACGUCGGCGAUGCAAGCUCUCUGGAUCGACCAAUGGAUCCAUCUCGGACGGGUGGACGACGCGACGGCGGCUUUUGCUGGGGGGGCCGGGGCCGACAGCGACAGCCUUGUGGCGCGGGCCGUCGGGGCACCGCCGCACGGCACGACGGCGCUGGCGGCCCCCAUCUGC
rnacentral:lncRNA from 1 species